rnacentral:rRNA from 1 species
CCUACGUGAGUCAGCAGUAGGGAAUAUUGCUCAAUGGGGGAAACCCUGAAGCAGCAACGCCGCGUGGAGGAUGAAGGUUUUCGGAUUGUAAACUCCUUUUGUUAGAGAAGAUAAUGACGGUAUCUAACGAAUAAGCACCGGCUAACUCCGUGCCAGCAGCCGCGGUAAUACGGAGGGUGCAAGCGUUACUCGGAAUCACUGGGCGUAAGGAGCGCGUAGGCGGGAUAGCAAGUCAGAUGUGAAAUCCUAUGGCUUAACCAUAGAACUGCAUUUGAAACUGUUAUUCUAGAGGAUGGGAGAGGUAGGUGGAAUUCUUGGUGUAGGGGUAAAAUCCGUAGAGAUCAAGAGGAAUACUCAUUGCGAAGGCGACCUGCUAGAACAUAACUGACGCUGAUGCGCGAAAGCGUGGGGAGCAAACAGGAUUAGAUACCCUAGUAGUC